rnacentral:rRNA from 1 species
UGGCGGACGGGUGAGGAAUACAUCGGAAUCUACUCUGUCGUGGGGGAUAACGUAGGGAAACUUACGCUAAUACCGCAUACGACCUACGGGUGAAAGCAGGGGAUCUUCGUACCUUGCGCGAUUGAAUGAGCCGAUGUCGGAUUAGCUAGUUGGCGGGGUAAAGGCCCACCAAGGCGACGAUCCGUAGCUGGUCUGAGAGGAUGAUCAGCCACACUGGAACUGAGACACGGUCCAGACUCCUACGGGAGGCAGCAGGC